rnacentral:tRNA from 1 species
GUUGAGAUGGUCGAGUUGGUCUAAGGAGCUAGAUUAAGGUUUUUGUUCGAAAGAACGUGGGUUCAAAUUCCAUUCUCAACA